rnacentral:rRNA from 1 species
UACGGAGGGGGCUAGCGUUGUUCGGAAUUACUGGGCGUAAAGCGCACGUAGGCGGCUUUGUAAGUUAGAGGUGAAAGCCCAGGGCUUAACCCUGGAAUUGCCUUUAAGACUGCAUCGCUAGAAUCGUGGAGAGGUGAGUGGAAUUCCGAGUGUAGAGGUGAAAUUCGUAGAUAUUCGGAAGAACACCAGUGGCGAAGGCGACUCACUGGACACGUAUUGACGCUGAGGUGCGAAAGCGUGGGUCGCGAAUGGG